rnacentral:rRNA from 1 species
AAUUUCUGGUACGAUGCAUUUGGCCCGGCGGCUUCGGUCGUUUGUGUGCUAGAGCGCAUCUGCCAUCCUUGUAGAUCGUUUUCUACUGCCCUUCGUUGUGUGGUAGAUACGGUUUAGAUCUUUUACUUUGAAAAAAUUAGAGUGUUUCAAGCAGGCUUUAUGCUAUGAAUACAUUAGCAUGGAAUAAUAAUUUAGGACUUCGGUUCUAUUUUGUUGGUUUCUAGGACUGAAGUAAUGAUUGAUAGGGAUAGUUGGGGGUGCUAGUAUUCAGCGGCCAGAGGUGAAAUUCUCGGAUUCGCUGAAGACUAACUUAUGCGAAAGCAUU